UACGUAGGGACAGAGCGUUGUCCGGAAUCAUUGGGCGUAACGAGCUCGUAGGCGGUUUGUCGCGUCGAAUGUGAAAGCCCGGGGCUCAACCCCGGGCCUGCAUUCGAUACGGGCAGACUAGAGUUCGGUAGGGGAGUCUGGAAUUCCUGGUGUAGCGGUGAAAUGCGCAGAUAUCAGGAGGAACACCGGUGGCGAAGGCGGGACUCUGGGCCGAUACUGACGCUGAGGAGCGAAAGCGUGGGGAGCGAACAGG
rnacentral:rRNA from 1 species